GGAAACACAAAAGGCAGUUUUCAUAUUACAUCUGUUGAAUAACUAAUACAUAUAGUUUUUUUAAUAAGGGCACGUGAUGGACUUCAUUGAUAAAGUUCGCCCAUGGACAAUGAACACUAACCUAUCAGAUCUUUCCAUACCGGAGGUGUGCCUUACCCCACCAUGUUUAAAAGGAGGCUUCCAUUAGGAUAAAAAUAUUCUCUUGAUAAAGUCGGGUCGUAACCCGAUGAAACGCGUAGAGUUCUGAGUUCUGUGAAUGAUCGAGCUACAUUGGAGUAGCGUGUAACAACCAAUCAAUAGGAACCUGUGACGCUUCACUUGCUGUGACUAGUUCCGGCUACGUUCUGGGCUUCCUGAUAGUGUCUCCAAAGGACUACAGUGGAUAUAACAAGCGGUACAGCCGGUGGAGGGACGCUUUGUGCUGGAAAGAGACGGAUGACUAUCUAUGCCGAGUGGUGUCUUUGCCGAGUGGUGACUUUUUAAUGCUUGCACUAUUUAUGUUUUAUGUACAUCUUUGCUUGUAUAUGUUGUUAUACACUUGUUAAACUUUUAUUAAACAGUUUUACAUUCAGA